AGUACGGCGAGUGAAGAGGGAAGAGCCCAAGAUUGAAAGCUGGCGUCUUCGGCGUCCGCAUUGUAAUCUCAAGAAGUGUUUUCCGCUUCGGACCAUGCCUAAGUCCCUUGGAAAAGGGCAUCAUAGAGGGUGAUAAUCCCGUACAUGGCAUGGAGCGCCCGAAGCUUUGUGAUACGCUUUCUAAGAGUCGAGUUGUUUGGGAAUGCAGCUCAAAAUGGGUGGUAAAUGCCAUCUAAGGCUAAAUAUUGGGGAGAGACCGAUAGCGAACAAGUACAGUGAUGGAAAGAUGAAAAGAACUUUGAAAAGAGAGUUAAACAGUACGUGAAAUUGCCAAAAGGGAAGGGUAGGAGGUCAGAGAUGCGGCCUGGGAUUCAGCCUUGCUUUUGCUUGGUGUUUUUCCCAGAUGGCAGGCCAACGUCGGUUUUGGGCGCUGGAGAAGGGUGGAAGGAAUGUGGCACCUCUCGGGGUGUGUUAUAGCCUUCUACUGGAUACAGUGACCGAGACCGAGGACAGCAGCGUACUCGCAAGAGCGGGCCUUCGGGCACCUUUACGCUUAGGGCGUUGGCAUAAUGGCCCUCUACCACCCGUCUUGA
rnacentral:rRNA from 1 species